AUACGUAGGGGGCGAGCGUUGUCCCGAAUGAUUGGGCGUAAAGGGCGCGUAGGCGGCGCGGUAAGUCUGGAGUGAAAGUCCUGCUUUCAAGGUGGGAAUUGCUUUGGAUACUGCCGCGCUUGAGUGCAGGAGAGGUUAUCGGAAUUCCCGGUGUAGCGGUGAAAUGCGUAGAGAUCGGGAGGAACACCAGUGGCGAAGGCGGGUAACUGGACUGCAACUGACGCUGAGGCGCGAAAGUGUGGGGAGCAAACAGGAUUAGAUACCCUGGUAGUCCACACUGUAAACGAUGAAUGCUAGGUGUAAGAGGUAUCGACCCCUUUUGUGCCGGAGUCAACACAAUAAGCAUUCCGCCUGGGGAGUACGGCCGCAAGGUUGAAACUCAAAUGAAUUGACGGGG
rnacentral:rRNA from 1 species